rnacentral:rRNA from 1 species
AUUGAACGCUGGCGGCAGGCCUAACACAUGCAAGUCGAACGGUAACAGGAAGAAGCUUGCUUCUUUGCUGACGAGUGGCGGACGGGUGAGUAAUGUCUGGGAAACUGCCUGAUGGAGGGGGAUAACUACUGGAAACGGUAGCUAAUACCGCAUAAUGUCGCAAGACCAAAGAGGGGGACCUUCGGGCCUCUUGCCAUCGGAUGUGCCCAGAUGGGAUUAGCUAGUAGGUGGGGUAACGGCUCACCUAGGCGACGAUCCCUAGCUGGUCUGAGAGGAUGACCAGCCACACUGGAACUGAGACACGGUCCAGACUCCUACGGGGGGCAGCAGUGGGGAAUAUUGCACAAUGGGCGCAAGCCUGAUGCAGCGAUGCCGCGUGUAUGAAGAAGGCCUUCGGGUUGUAAAGUACUUUCAGCGGGGAGGAAGGGAGUAAAGUUAAUACCUUUGCUCAUUGACGUUACCCGCAGAAGAAGCACCGGCUAACUCCGUG